CCUACGGGAGGCAGCAGUGAGGAAUAUUGGUCAAUGGGCGCGAGCCUGAACCAGCCAAGUAGCGUGAAGGAUGACUGCCCUACGGGUUGUAAACCUCUUUUAUCAAGGAAUAAAGUGAGGCACGUGUGCCUUGUUGUAUGUACUUUAUGAAUAAGGAUCGGCUAACUCCGUGCCAGCAGCCGCGGUAAUACGGAGGAUGCGAGCGUUAUCCGGAUUUAUUGGGUUUAAAGGGAGCGUAGAUGGGUUGUUAAGUCAGGGGUGAAAGUUUGGGGCUCAACCGUAAGAUUGCAAUUGAGACUGGCAGUCUUGAGUACAGGUGAGGUAUGCGGAAUGCGUGGUGUAGCGGUGAAAUGCUUAGAUAUCGCGAAGAACUCCGAUUGCGAAGGCAGCUUACUAAAUUGCCACUGACAUUGAGGCUCGAAAGUGUGGGUAUCGAACAGGAUUAGAUACCCCAGUAGUC
rnacentral:rRNA from 1 species